rnacentral:tRNA from 1 species
GCGGCCGUCGUCUAGCCUGGUUUAGGACAUCAGCCUGCCACGCUGAUAGCCCGGGUUCAAAUCCCGGCAGCCGCACCA